GAACGGCACCUGGCUGCGGAACGCUCUUCUGGACGGCCCUGGAAGCAGUGUUCGUCUUUUUCCUUCUGCGCUAACGCGUACGAAGGCCGUGACGUCACAAUGACAAGCGCACACUUGGACAGGAGAGAAUCGAGCGGCGUUUGGCUUAAUGUGUAGCAUCGUUGUUGCUCAGGCUUGGCGACAAUCGCGGAUCCCAAAAUCAGCAUCGCCGGCGGCGGAAGACACGACAGGUGUGCGCGUUCAGUGGGUCGUGCUUCAAAACUACUGUGCUGGGAAGACCGCUAUGUGUGUGUCUACGCUACCAGUGGCGAUUCGUUUUUCUUCUUGUUGUUGUUGUUACUCUCCUAUGUUAACAGUGUUGGCAAGCAGUUGCUGUCAUCCUACUUCGACACGACGUGUUUGGUAGGCAUUUCUGUGAGAGCCGCGAUGUUGUCACUGCAUAGAUGUGCAUUCUAGAAUGUGUGCCAGAGAUGGGAAGUCCCGACAUCCAAUCAACGAGAGUGGAGGGGCUCGACAAGACGUGCUUCUGGUGUUUCGAGCGUAGUACCGGUCGCUAAGUCCAUUCAACCGAGGAACAGAAGGCAAAGGAAGUGUCGCAGCAAUACAAGGAAACGGCCCGCUAAUCCAGCAGCCUGAACAGACCAAGGGCAGCGAUGACACAAUAAAAGUGCCUCUACUAUGCA
rnacentral:lncRNA from 1 species